rnacentral:rRNA from 1 species
CAGCAGCCGCCGCGGGAAUACGUAGGUCCCGAGCGUUGUCCGGAUUUAUUGGGCGUAAAGGGAGCGCAGGCGGUUCAGUAAGUCUGAAGUUAAAGGCAUUGGCUCAACCAAUGUAUGCUUUGGAAACUGUUAGACUUGAGUGCAGAAGGGGAGAGUGGAAUUCCAUGUGUAGCGGUGAAAUGCGUAGAUAUAUGGAGGAACACCGGUGGCGAAAGCGGCUCUCUGGUCUGUCACUGACGCUGAGGCUCGAAAGCGUGGGUAGCGAACAGGAUUAGAUACCCCUGUAGUCCCUGUCUCUUAUACA